GGAAGUAAAAGUCGUACAAGGUUUCCGUAGGUGAACCUGCGGAAGGAUCAUUAAUGAGUUGUCAUGGGGUUCGAUGCUGGCAGCCAAUUUUUGGAUGCAUGUGCUUGCCCUAACAAUCAUCUUCCAAACACCUGUGCACAUUUUUGAGGGAGUCUUGAGUUGGUUGCCGCUCUUGGGUGAUUUUCUCACAUUCCCUUAAAUCAUUAUACGCUAUUAACAAUGUUGAACGUGCUCUGUGCCGCAAGGCUAUUAAUAUAAUACAACUUUUAACAACGGAUCUCUUGGCUCUC
rnacentral:misc_RNA from 1 species